GCGGGUGUAGCUCAGUGGUAGAGCGUCACGUUGCCAACGUGAAUGUCGUCGGUUCAAAUCCGUCCACCCGCU
rnacentral:tRNA from 1 species